CAGAACCGUGUAAAAUGAUUUUAUUUUUUCGGAUUUCUUCUGAUUUAGUGUUUAAUGUUUCAGUUUUGGUUGUGUUGGCUCACAAAGAAAGAUGAAUGGUGUGAGAAUCGGUUUUACGGUAGUGCAUCGGUUGGAUUGAGAGAGUCGAUUUUGGUAUCUCUUUUAGGUUUUUGAUUUUGAUUUAGUGUUUAUUGUUUCAGGUUUUGAGCGGGCGCAAAAAGAGGCUUUGAAGAGAUAUGAUGAUUGUAGCGUCUACUUAAUCUCUUGACGUUAAAAACAUUUUGUUGUACAGACACGGCAACUUCAUAUCCAUCUUAAAGUUUUGGUUUUUCUGAAUGUUCAUAUCUCAUCGGGUUCCUGUUGGUGGAUGCUACAGGCUUAUAGACAUUCCAAUGAGCAAUUGCAUCAACAGUGGCACUUCAUAUUCAUUUGUCCUAUUUUCAGCCGCACAUCAGACUUUGGAUUAGUCAAAGUAGAUAGCAGAGGACACACGGGUUCAGGUUAUUAGUUUAGAAAUGUUGUUUGUUCUAAUUUUCUGGUCUGAUUUCGUAUGGUGCAUUUAUGGUGGGUACGGAGCAGAGACUUCGUCAUGAGAACGGUCGAUGAUAUGGUGAACUGAUCAUCAUUAGUUUGGAGCUGGUAAGUAUGUCGGUACAUUAUGUGUGUUGAUAUGUAUGUACGAAUGGUCUGCUGCAAUUGUUUGAUAGGUGUGAAGCAAUGUCUACUUAUCCAAGAACCUAUGAUUUAAUCCAUGCUGAUUCUUUGUUCAUCCUUAACGGUCGCAGCAACUCGACUGUUAUUCAGGAUCAACAAUCAAAGUGGCCGACAUAUAUUUCUCACUUCUCCUGUUUGUUGUCAUGGGGCUUAUGUCGAUUCCGGAAAUGAAACCUGUGAGAUGGUUUCAGACAAAUGGUAGCUGCAGAAAACUUCUUGUACUGUAUUGCUGGACCUAUUUAACACACUCAAAAUACUUGGCCUUUUGGGAGCUUUUACCAUGUUUUUCGGACACUGGAUUCUUUCCUAUCUUGCUUUUACAUCGUCCAAGUUGAAGUCUGCAUGAGUGAAACAGAUAAUGUCCAAAGAGAUAGGAGUAUUUAAAUUUUUUCUUUAGAGAAAUGGUACUAAUCAAAUUUUGUAGGAAUCUGUUGUAUUAUGUGAUCUGACAAAUGUAGAAGUCAUUAUAUUUCAC